rnacentral:lncRNA from 1 species
CUUGUUUGCCACAUGCUCCUUGCUUCUGGUGCUUCCUCCGGGAAGUCUUCCAGGAUGCCCACUUUCUUCUGACUCCUUGUCCCUGGACUCUGGGCUGCUUCCCAUGUCUGGCCUCAGUUUACCCCCUACAAGCCUGAGAGCCCACAUGAUUACCACCUCUUUGCAAAUAAAGGAAGGGAGGCUGAGAGAUGGAAAAUCAAGGCAGGAGCACGAGGGUAACUCGCCCAAGGUGAGAAGACAAGAGACAACUGGCACACACCUGGCACUCACCUGGUCCCCAGCCACGCUUCAUGCUCAGAAGCCGCCUGUAUGGAGAACUGACAUUGUCACAUUCCAGCCGGAAAAGCGUCACCCAAACCAUGCCCCCGCCUCUUCUGCCUUUCUUCUCCCUCAAGCUCCCAAGGACAGACCUGUGUUUGCCCACCCAGGAAGCCUCCCACCUGCAGCUGAACACUUGGCUCACUCUGUUGCUGUGCUCACCUGCAGGGGCAGAUGGACCCGUCCCAGGUUUCAUUCAGAUGUCAAGACAAGCCUGGUGCCCUGGCACAUGCCUAUCAUCCUAGCACUUGGGAGGCUGAGGCAGGAGGAUCACU